rnacentral:lncRNA from 1 species
UCUCCAUGACCCCUGACUGUGACCUCUUCUUCAUGAUUCCUGACCGUGACCCCCUCCUCCUUUGGUUUCAGACCAGACUUCUUUAGGGGAUCCAGGACUAAGCCGAGGAAGGUGUUUCUGAACCUCAGGGAAUCUGUGGCCACUGGCAAGCCAGCGGAAAAUUCAGCCCAGUGGGGAAGACUGAGAAUACAGGGAGGCCAGACAGAGAGCUCGUCCAGAAGCAGCCACACAAGUGGAUUUAUGUAGAGGGCUCCAUUGUGUUCACACAUUCAUGUGCCAACUUGGAAGCAGAUCUUCUGGGUGC